rnacentral:rRNA from 1 species
UGGGGAAUUUUGGACAAUGGGGGAAACCCUGAUCCAGCCAUCCCGCGUGUGCGAUGAAGGCCUUCGGGUUGUAAAGCACUUUUGGCAGGAAAGAAACGUCGCGGGUUAAUACCCCGCGGAACUGACGGUACCUGCAGAAUAAGCACCGGCUAACUACGUGCCAGCAGCCGCGGUAAUACGUAGGGUGCAAGCGUUAAUCGGAAUUACUGGGCGUAAAGCGUGCGCAGGCGGUUCGGAAAGAAAGAUGUGAAAUCCCAGAGCUUAACUUUGGAACUGCAUUUUUAACUACCGGGCUAGAGUGUGUCAGAGGGAGGUGGAAUUCCGCGUGUAGCAGUGAAAUGCGUAGAUAUGCGGAGGAACACCGAUGGCGAAGGCAGCCUCCUGGGAUAACACUGACGCUCAUGCACGAAAGCGUGGGGAGCAAACAGGAUUAGAUACCCUGUAGUCCCUGAGCGGGCUGGCAAGGC